UCCGUAGGUGAACCUGCGGAAGGAUCAUUACAGAAAGUAAACGCGGAUCAAACCGCGAAACUUUUAAACCUUUGACGAUUGACUCAUGUUGCCUCGGCGGGUUCGCCCGCCAGAGGAUACAUCAAAACUCCUGUUUUAAACGGUGUUGUCUGAGCUACAAGCAACGAAUCAAAACUUUCAACAACGGAUCUCUUGGUUCUGGCAUCGAUGAAGAACGCAGCGAAAUGCGAUAAGUAGUGUGAAUUGCAGAAUUCAGUGAAUCAUCGAAUCUUUGAACGCACAUUGCGCCCCUUGGUAUCCCGAGGGGCAUGCCUGUUCGAGCGUCAUUUCACCACUCAAGCCUGACUUGGUGUUGGGUGACGUCCAUUUUAAGGACGCGCCUCGAAACGCUUCGGCGGCGUGGCACCGGCUUUAAGCGUAGCAGAAUCUUUCGCUUCGAAAGUCGGGGCCCCGUCUGCCGGAAGACC
rnacentral:misc_RNA from 1 species